rnacentral:rRNA from 1 species
GACGAACGCUGGCGGCGUGCUUAACACAUGCAAGUCGAACGGAAAGGCCCUGCUUUUGUGGGGUGCUCGAGUGGCGAACGGGUGAGUAACACGUGAGUAACCUGCCCUUGACUUUGGGAUAACUUCAGGAAACUGGGGCUAAUACCGGAUAGGAGCUCCUGCUGCAUGGUGGGGGUUGGAAAGUUUCGGUGGUUGGGGAUGGACUCGCGGCUUAUCAGCUUGUUGGUGGGGUAGUGGCUUACCAAGGCUUUGACGGGUAGCCGGCCUGAGAGGGGGACCGGCCACAUUGGGACUGAGAUGCGGCCCAGACUCCUACGGGAGGCAGCAGUGGGGAAUAUUGCACAAUGGGCGGAAGCCUGAUGCAGCAACGCCGCGUGCGGGAUGACGGCCUUCGGGUUGUAAACCGCUUUCGCCUGUGACGAAGCGUGAGUGACGGUAAUGGGUAAAGAAGCACCGGCUAACUACGUG